rnacentral:rRNA from 1 species
CGACCCUUCUUGGUCAUUUAGAGGAAGUAAAAGUCGUAACAAGGUUUCCUAGGUGAACCUGCGGAAGGAUCAUUACUAGAGCAAAGGAUAGACAGCGCCGCGGAGCUCGCUCCCGGGGCUACCCUACUCCCGUAGGGUUUAGAGUCGCGGGCCUCUCGGAGAAGCUCGGUCCUGAACUCCACCCUUGAAUAAACUACUUUGUUGCUUUGGCGGGCCGCCUCGUGCCAGCGGCUUCGGCUGUUGAGGCCCGCCAGAGGACCCCAACUCUUGUUUUUAGUGAUGUCUGAGUACUAUUAAUAGUUAAAACUUUCAACAACGGAUCUCUUGGUUCUGGCAUCGAUGAGAACGCAGCGAAAUGCGAUAAGUAAUGUGAAUUGCAGAAUUCAGUGAAUAUCGAAUCUUUGAACGCACAUUGCGCCCUCUGGUAUUCCGGGGGGCAUGCUGUUCGAGCGUCAUUAUAACCACUCAAGCUCUCGCUUGGAAUUGGGGUCGCGGUUUCGCGGCCCCUAAAAUCAGUGGCGGUGCCUGUCGGCUCUACGGUAGUAAUACUCCUCGCGAUUGAGUCCGGUAGGUCUACUUGCCAGCAACCCUAAUUUUUUUAAGGUUGACCUCGGAUCAGGUAGGGAUACCCGCUGAAUUAAGCAUAUCAAUAAGCGGAGGA